AAGGCUUUAAGUUAAUUUAAACUAAUAUCCUUCAAAGCUAUAAAUAAAGAGUAGUCCCUUUAAGUCUUA
rnacentral:tRNA from 1 species